rnacentral:rRNA from 1 species
GGAAGGUGCGCUUGGAAAAAC